rnacentral:tRNA from 1 species
CGGGCCGUGGUGUUAACGGUAGCACGCAUGGCUGGGGGUCAUGUGGUUCGGGUUCGAAUCCCGGCGGCCCGA